rnacentral:rRNA from 1 species
UACCCGCAGCACAAGUGGUGGUCAUUAUUAUUGGGCCUAAAGCGUCCGUAGCUGGCUUGUUAGAUGCCUGGGUAAAUCGAUGCGCUCAACGUAUCGAACUCCGGGUAGACCGGCAAGCUUGGGACCGGGAGAGGCGUGAGCUACUCGGGGGGUAGGGGUAAAAUCCUGUAAUCCUCCGGGGAGGACCAGUGGCGAAGGCGUCACGCUAGAACGGCUCCGACAGUGAGAGACGAAGCCCUGGGGCGCAAACCGG